ACUCUAAUGGGACUGCCGGUGACAAACCGGAGGAAGUGGGGAUGACGUCAAGUCCUCAUGGCCCUUAUGGGUAGGGCUCCACACGUCAUACAAUGGUCGGUACAGAGGGUUGCCAACCCGCGAGGGGGAGCUAAUCCCACAAAGCCGAUCGUAGUCCGGAUCGCAGUCUGCAACUCGACUGCGUGAAGUCGGAAUCGCUAGUAAUCGUGGAUUCAGCAUGUCACGGUGAAUACGUUCCCGGGUCUU
rnacentral:rRNA from 1 species